CUGUAAGCCUGGAUCUUCAGAGAUGGGAAUAAAAGGAAGAAUUUGAUAAUGGAAUUGGUGGUACUUCCUCUUUUGUGAUUGGCUGUGGAAGAAGCUGCUAUUGCACCAAGUCCCUCCAUCUGUGAGCCCCGUGAGGUGAGUUUCUAAGGCCCUUCUGAAAUCAAGUAGGAGCUAAGGCUACGUUGUUCCACAAAGCAUAGCAUGGGUCUUCUAAGAAGAGCAAAAAGCCCCAAUCCACUGAAGCGCUUAGCCUUGAGUAGUGCCUUGGAGAUCAAUGGGACUGCUUACAGCACCACAGAAGUCUCAAUCCAAUUCUUGAGGAAAUCAAUGGAAGUUUGAUUGGAGCCAUAGAAAGCCAUGAAGGGAAUUUCAAGAGAUAAAAGUCUGGAGCCAGACAUUCAAAAAUAGGUUUUUAAGUAUGUGUCACUGACCUUCCUUAUGGCUUGCAAAUGCAGUCUGAUUACCCCAACUGAGGUUACUUUAAG
rnacentral:lncRNA from 1 species